UUGCUUGAAAACAAAACAGAUAACAUUGUAAUUACGGUGUCACUGGACGAUUUUAAUGACUAUAAGUUAUAAGAAGUUCGGCGUCAGUGAGGCGGUACAGUCCAAAAUCACAGUCCAUACAGACACUUUUAGUAUUUUGUGAACACGUGAUGAUCCGAAGUUAAAGUAAAUAAAACGCUGAAGGAACAUAAACUGAACUCAUGGGAAGUAAAGGGUCGUGUCUGAGGUGGGACCCCUGGUUCGUACUGUACGUUUCCCACAUCAAGCCACUCUCAGUGACUUUGCUGACGUCCCAACUAUCGAGUUGUCCCGGAACGCGUUUAGAAACGGGGGAACACGAAGACCGCGUGCUGUCGCCACCGGAAGUUACGCGUUUCCCUGUCCUGAUGGAGGUCUGAGCCAGACGAACAAGCCGUAAUCUGGCCUCGUCGAGGAGGCCCAGCGGGCCCCGUGGUGCAGCUCGUCCGUGGGACUCUCGGGCUUUCAUCUCAAUGGGUAUGGGACGAGGGUGGGGGUCUGGAGAGGCAGAAAGAGAGAGAAAGAGCCAUGCAGAAGAAAGCAGAGUUUGGUAAAGAGAUUCAAAGUCUUUGCGUUUGAUGUGUGUGUUGGGAUU